CCUGAGAAACCCAAAAGAUCGAAUGGGGAGAUUCAUCGUCAGCUCAUUUUAUAUAUAUGCUAGUUAUGAUAUGGGUUACUACUUUUUUGUAGUAUUGCCUGUACAUUCUUGUAUAUUUAAUUGUAAGAUGUUGUCGGCGUGCACUUCUCCCCUAGUAGGACGUCGCGACCCGUUGAGUGUUGGUCUACGGCCCAAGUGGGAGCUUUUGAUGAAUUUUAUAUUUGUUAAAAAACCCUUGGUGUUUCCUGACUGGCACUCGUCGGUAUUCGUAUGGUAUUGAGCCGCAUAUUAUAUAUGCGUCCAUAUCUGUCGCAAGCGAAGUUAGUUACUGAUAGUGCGGACCUGGUGCCGUCGUUGGUACUAAUCAGCUGUUGGUUGUACAGAAUUCUAGGA
rnacentral:rRNA from 1 species